ACAGUGUCAGGCACAUUUCAGUGCAAUAAAUAAUCAUCAUCAACUAUUAAUCUGAGUCAGCACAUAUAUUUAGAUCUAUAUCGAUAUAUUCUGAUCUAUAUGUGAUCUGAUGAGCGCGUUUGGCACGCGUUUGGACACACAACCUGACCGAAUCAACACAGCUGAAACCGCAUAAAAUUAAAUUAAAUAUCUAGUAAAUAAACACACAUGAUGAAGUUAACUAGAUAUGUAAUUCAUCUCUUCCUUUUCUUUCUUCCUCUUCCUCUUAUUUCUCGCACAGCUCGACCUGGACACGCCUCCGUGUCCUCUGUCCGUCUUGCUGCUGCUGCAGCUGAACAGAUGAUUUGUUUCAGUGCUCAGAUGCGUUAUCUACUUUAAGCCGACAUACAGAUAUUAUAAUAUUCAGUUUUGUGAGCCAAAUUUAUUUUAUAUGCCAACAUCUAUGAAAGAAAGAGCCAGGCCACGGAGCGCGAUGCGUCAUUUACACACAGAUGGUUCAGAUUUUAAUGCCAUUUUUGGAGUUUAUGUUGUGAUCUGUGCGCUAAACCCACCUUUGUUACGUGAGGUUUGAAUAUGAGCAACUUUAUGUGAGUGUCUUUAUUUGUGGAAAAGGGUGUUUGUCUUACCAGUGGGUCCAACAUUACGCACACUAAAUCCAUCUGUGCUCAUAUGAGAGAGUGUGGAGGACACUUGUUGAGGAGCUGCCCUCUGUCGCCAUCUUGUGGCAUUACUGUCUUAAGACAUCUCUUGAUCUCUUUGACUACUUCAUGAAAAUAGUAAUACGCCUCGCCUGUGGCGGAUUUAAAGGCAAGGAGAGGAGCCUAUGUGAUUGGUGAAAACAGGUCUCGGCUGUGUUAAACCGACUUCACGCCCUUUCUCCUCCCCGUUACGACUUAUGGUGCUGGGAGGAGCUGAGUUAGGGAGGGGGGAUACUUACGCCGGGCUGCGCGGCUCACCAAAAUACCAAAAUGUGCUUGGGAACGCCUUGUCAGCGCGGCGGAUCUGACUGACGCUGCACUUGCGGCACGUCUCCGGCGAGGCACCAAAAUAGAGCCCCAAGUCUACAUCUGCUGCUAAUGCUAAUGCUAAUGCUAUGACACUCCGACUAUCAUUUGAUUUGGUGUUUUCUCAGUAAAAUGCCGUUUGAUGGAAACAACUGAAGCUUAUAGAGCAUUUGAAAACAGACUCAACAUGCACUAAUACAGUAAGUGGAAGUGCCACAGGUUGUCCUUCAAGACCCAGCAACAGUAAGUGCUGAUGAGACGCGCUCUGAAUCUGAGACCAUAGGCGCUGCCAGCAUAAAAAUGUGGCAGUGAUGGACACAUGCCCUUAAAUUCUGUCCCAGCUAACUUAAAAAGUUUCUGAUCCGCUCGAUUACUUAUUUUAAUCUCAUGAACCAGGAAUUUUCGCAUCAUGAGAAGUAAGAAAAAGACAUUAGUAAUGCACCAGUGCAGCUACUUCCUGAUGAACUUGCAGGUUCACUCUUCUGUUUAGUGAUGUAGAUGUUUUCAUGAUGUGAUCACAAACAUCACUUUUCUUUCAAAUGGCUCCAUUUCCACCUCUCAGAACCUUCACAACACUGGAUGAGUAAAACGUUUCUGUACUUUGAGGCCGGGAAUCGAAGUGAUGACAAGCAAAGAAAGUGGAUUCAGUUUAUUGAGACACUGCCAAAGUGUUCCUGCAAUAUGCCAUGUCUGUGUUAGAGUACUUUUCUGUUCUUGCCUUAGUAAGCAGUCAGGUUUUAUCAAUCAGUGUCAGAGCAGAGAGAGGCUUAACAAUAAACUCAGUGUGUACAGUUCAGUGCUUACGCUCUGGUGUCAGCGAUGUCUUUAUUAACAAAUCCACUGUCACAACGUUCUGCUCUUAAAACAAGCCUGUCUAUGUGAAUAUAUGUAAGCAGGGCUCAAAGAGGAAAGAGGGUCCUCACAUGGGAGACUUUUAGACAAAAAAAAUCUCAGUCUUGGUAGUUCUCGAAGCAUCUUUGGGAAUUCAUUUAAAAUUUGAAAACAUGAAAAUAAGUCUAUGUGAAAUAUGUGUUCACUUUAGACAGCUGCCUGUCUGCCCAUCUGUCCAUGCAGCUAUAUUUACAACACCAUCUUCUACCAUGAUGAAUAUCCACCUGUUUUUUCAGCUGUCAACCUUCUAUGAUGCCUGCAACACUUUGCAGUAAGUGUGUGGCUGCAAGUAAGUAUGAGAGAGAGCAACCACUUAAGCUGUCCAUCUAAAUCUGAAAUUAAAAACAAGGUGCAUGUGCACACAUGGAGGAAAGGAAAUGUUUCCGUGAAUGCCCUCAUCUAAUGGCCUUCACUGUUUAGUUACACAGCCAAUCACAUGACCCAUAAUGUCCCCCACAACCCAAACAUGGUGUUUACUGGUGUUUCGUCCAGAUAGGUCGAACUUUGGGUGACUCUUUAGUUACUGCACCACCUCCAUGCUCGCUCCUCACAUUCCUAUACGUAUUAGAGGACAAUAAAGGGGGGGGGGUUCAACUGUAUGCCCUACCUCCCGUAUUUAAGCCCUUUUGAUCAAAUUGUCUUCAGUCAAAACAUUAAAGCACCCCUGUACAUAGACAACAAUGCUUUCAUUCAUGUACCCUAUGCCUAAAACCAGCUCUGCGUGCUAAUGUAUAUUAAUGCAUUCAUGCAUGUGCUGGCCCAUCCAACACAUGUGUGUGUGUGUGUGUGUACAGUGUGAUUUAUAUACAGAGAAUAGAUAUGUGCGUAAGUCACAAUAAACACUCCAGUGCUCACAUUAUAUUCUGCUAAUAGGCUGUAUGAAUAGAUGAACAGUUUCUGUGAAUUCCAUCUUACGUGUGUCUGUGGCUCCCUGUGCAUCUGUUUUGUUUAUCGAAUGGUUAUUUAACCUCUGCAGCUCUGCUGAGCAGCCUCCCAGCUUCAUUCAAACCAUCCAGCCAUUUUGGAAAGGACCGUGUUUUUUCCCUGCUAGGUAAUCCGUAUGGGCUUGACUGACAGAAGAAUGGUGAGGAUGUAGAAAAUGCUCAUUGUCCAUUGACCAGGAAAUUGGUACCAGGCCCAUUUAGGAUGUGGAUGGUUGCUUUUGGCAGUGAUAGACAAUACACAAACAUACGCAAACAACUAGCUGAAUGCAAAGCCAAGUGCUCAACACAGCUCCUGCUAUCGUGCUGUUGUUUUUGCAGAAUGGAAGAAUAGCCUGGCUUAGCUUUAAUAUUGAGAAAACAGCCAGAAAAGUUCAACCAACAUUAUGCCAUCAAAUAAUGAGUGUGUACUUCACCUGCAUAAAACUUUGAAACUAAUGCAAAACACCAACAAAAUCGGCAGGAGAAAACUUCCUUGUGCAAAGUUCUACCCCCAAACUGAACUUGAACUGUGUAGACUAAGAGAAGAGGUAUUUCAAAGCUAGUCUAUGGUGACUAUGACUGUCAAAUGGUGUAAUGUAACUGAGCAGAACGCCAUUUGACAGUCAUAAGCAUGAUGGAGGCAACAGCAGUAGGAGCUGUUUCUCAGGACUGGAGAAAAAAACUCAAGAAUGCCAAGGACGUCUGUUUGCUGUAAGUGAAUCUAUGUUUUACAUUUUAAAAAAGGGAUGUAUGAGUUUAGUUGACUAUAUAAUUAACAUCAUAUUUCCUUUUCAUUCUUUGCCAGACACAUGGAUUAUUAGUAUUUUCAUUACUGGUGGUCUUGAAUGUCAGUCAUUUGUAGUGUCUCAGCUUUGGCUCAGCUACCAGCCUGAGCUGUGGCUCAGGGUGGUGGUACCCGCCGUAAUGCUCUAAUGCUCUGCUGCUUAAAUGGUAAUUAACACGGGCCACACUUGGCAUCUCAAAGAACUGCUUGGUUUAUGAUCUGAAAAAUGGAGAAAAAGCUGAAUUAACCUUGUUUUUUUUGACAUUUUGAAAAUAAGUUGUGCCAUUUACAUCAGCACAACUAUCAUACUUGUCAGUGUAUAAAAAGCAAAGAAAGGUGUUAUAUUAUACUAUGGUAUUGUACCAGAAGAUGGCACUUAAACAGCCUCUUCAAAGAAGACAUACUGAGUGACAUCCACUUUUAAAGGGGAGUUUUUUAAGCUAAUCCAUACUUUAAUGUCACAAUGUUGAAUGUCCAUACUUUACCUCAGGAAAGUUCUAUGACAUGACUUACAAAGAUGGCGGCUAAUCCUCACACACAUUUUCCGACCUUACCAGACAGUUUGUUUCAAGAUGAAGCCACCUGACGAGACAGUGAUUAAGGAUGAGUCUGAACAGCAGCUCUGUCAGAGUCACCCACCUAAUCUUUGGAAAAUCUGUUCCUCUACCCGGCUUUUCCUCCACUCAUCACUUUGUUGAUUCUGUUUGGCUGAUUGUGGAUUCACCAGGUUGUGUGAUCAGCAUACAGAAGGUGUGCAGGAGCUUUUUCUUGUCAUGGAUUAAGUUAAAAGCGAUGGAAGUCUUGAUGCUGGAACAUAAUUAAUCCUUUUCACCGAAAGAAGCUCCCCAAAAAUAUACUGGUGCAUUUUAUAUUUUGGAUUUUACAGUAAAUAAUGCUCAGUUUUGACAGUUUUCUCAGUUUGUCCUCUGACCCUCACUUGAUUGUGUCCCACUCUGAUGCUUUUUUUGUUUGUUUGUUUGUUUGUUUGUUUUUACUAUUUAAAGUGUUCUCAGUGGUCUGUAAAUUGUGAUUAUGAAGUUUUAAGCCAAAAUCACAUUACCUGUCAUUUUCAAGGGCUUUUCUUCUGCAGAGCUCUAGUAGCUCAUUAGCAAUUUGCCUAUGAGUUGUGGGUGGAAACAGCGCUGCACUGCACACUCCUCUUCAUGCUAGCUUGUAGCCUAACAUUGCCGGUGUUGUAGAAGUGGCAGGUAACAUAAGAGCUACUCAGCUCUCGGACACUUAUGUCUUUAGGGACAUGAUGAAAGUUAAUAUCUUUCUUACGAGCAUUGCAAUCCCCUAAUGCACAUGCUCGUCCGCUCUACUUCUCCGAGUCUGGCCUGUAUAGUAGGGCUCCUGGGGCGGAGCUUGGAUUUGUGAUGUAGGAAAUCCCACUGUGUCUGAGCCUGCUGUUUGGGUCUGCCAGAGAUUCCCAGCAAUUUGAAUGCAGAAAUACUCAAAAAUGCUUUUACUAAAUUUAUUUACUUACUUUUCUCAUGAUAGGUCUUGUGGCAUCAGAAAAAUGCCAUAUGAACAUGGAAACAACAAGAAAAACACUAGAUACGUAAGGCGUGACAUGUGCAAAUAGCCAAAAUGGGCCAAAAACAGCGGAAUAACUCUUUAAACGUGUGUCUGAGAAAAAAGUCCAAGCACGCAAAAUCAAAGAUCUCAUGAAGAUACACAUGCCUGUAAAAUUUUGGGCAGAUCGGAAAAAGUCGACGUUAAUGGUACUCUGCAGGGGGCACUAGCAAGCCAUCUUCCAUCGCUUUUUUUGGGUCACAUUGCGGUUUUUGCUGGGCCCGACCUGCCUGCAAAUUUUGGUCAAUUUUCGAGGUCAUUCAGAGGGUCAAAUUAGCGUUUUCAGAGGCAGUAAAAUAAUAAUAAUAAUAGAGAACCCCUUGGGUUUCAAUAGGGCUUCUGCCAUGGCUUUGCUGCCGGCUCAGAUCCUUACGAUUUUCAUCGGGUGGGUCUUUAGCUGAUGUAUGAAAAAAAAAAAUCUGAAUAUUUAAUCAGGAUUGCCACAGAGCCUCUUUUUCCCUUUUCUUUAUUUAUCAAACAACAAGAAUUAAGCAGCUUGUAAGCAAACAAAAGCUGUCUCCUCCAGAGGUAAUUGAUGUUGUACAAAGCAGUAAAAUUCUGAAUAAACAUGCCAUGUUUCACUCUCUUAUCCCUCCUCCUUUUGUCCCACUCCUCUGCCUCUCCUUGAAGAUAUGGAGGUCCCUCUCGGCUUAUUUUACAGGCCUGUAUGUAAUUGCAGAGCUCUUACCUUUAUGUGAGCAACAUCAAGCGGACAGGGACCCUGGUUUAAACAAGGUCAGUGCAUAAGCAGCACUCCUAUCUCCUCCACACACAAUGCAGGCUCUGCAUCAGGACGCAGACUCUGAUGUCUCAGCACCCUAUAGACAGUGAGUCCUUCAGGACGGGGCUUCCUAAUAGAAGCAGAGAUUAGCAGAUGUUCCAGAGGAGACCCAAUCAACUCUGCUGAGCUGCAUUGAACCUGAGACUUUGUUGCUUUUGAUUGCAGGAGCAUUUACUUUCUCUCUGUAAAUACUUUUCUGUUCUCCUAAACUUUUGGAUUUGGCCCAUCAAACGGCUGUAAAAGCAGACUGUGCAGGGACUGAAUGUCUGCUCGGGGGUCUUUAAGGGAGUAAAUGAUUGAGGCAGACAGAUGUCACAGAGGAGGGACUGUGAUACUUUAGAAAACUGAGGGAAAUCUUUGGUAUGGUUGCUUAUAUGCUCAGGAUUCAACAGUUAACAUCCUAUUACCCUAUCCAACCACUGUUUCAAACAGCUGUUGUAGUAUAAAGGAGGACCAAACAUGGCAAUGGAAGAAAGUUUUUAUUUAUUAGAAAAAAGGCUGGUCUGCAAUUUAGUUCAACUAUAUUACCACAAUCUUCCAUUUCCCAUACCCCUACCUUCAAACUACAAUCACACUGAGAGUUUAGAAAUGAAAAAUAACUCUAGAUGUGACAAUGAGAAUAAAAAUGACAACCCAAGGACUUCAUGCUUCAAAUCCAGAUGAAGAGUUUGGCUACCUUGAGGCAUGUAUCUCACACUGAAGGACACAUAAAGAGCAGGCUAGCCAUUCAAAUGAAUGAGCACAAAAGUGCUGUUUAACAAGAACUCAGCAAGUUCAAGGUAUUUUGUAUCAGCACUAAGUUGUCGAUAUUGUACGACUUUCUCAGUUAUUUGGUUUUUAUUUUCACUGCUGCAUAAGUAUGGCAUGAAAAUAAAGGCAUUUUAACUGUUCAAAAGAGGUCGACUUAAAGGUGGGGUAGGCUUAAUCUGAGGAAGUGCCGGUUUUUGGGAGAAAUCUUGAAUGUAAACACUACCCCUCCCAACCAAUUUUCCCCUCAGCUCCUCCUCUUCCCUCCCUCUCUGCUCCAGCAAGCCCCGCCCACAAACAUACACUCCUGCUCGCUCAUAUCGUUCAUUCUACCUCUGUUUUAAGCUCCCUUAUUCCGCCAGAGUCUCCAGUAUUUACUUCUUUUUAUUGCUUGUGUUUUCUGUACUUUCUGGUUGGUUUCUACUGUCCGAUGUUGUAGCACGCUAACUUUGUUUGAGCUUGUGAAAGUUAUUGAAGGACAUGGAGCGUGCCUCACAACAGGAGGGAGCAGCAUCUAUCUUACAAUCAGUAAGGUUGGAGGAGGUGGAGAACGGCUUUGUUUACAGUCAGAAACGCCAUUAAAAAUGCCACACUGUACCGCGAGUCAAGCAAAAAUUUUAGAGGACAGGGAAGGUGUGUAAUUUCUGAUCAAAUCAAAACAAAUGAGCUAUAAAACAACCUCAUAACACUCAUGAAGUGGCCUUAAUAACAGAGAGACAUACUUAAGAAAACCACGGUGAUGGACCAGAUUUGGAGGUUGUUGAAUUCUGCAGAAACAGGCUUUUUAUUAUGGGCUCUAAUGAGGGUGGCUUAGUUUAAAGAGCAAGCCCCCGGUGGACAUUUUAGGAACUGUAGUUUUUUGCACUUCUUUUUCCAAUGCAGUAGGUUUCUGUGCAGCUGGAUUUUGGGGAAUUGAGGUACAUAUCCGUUGGAGUUGAAUAAAACAAACUAACUUAAAAAAAAGGAAAAUAAAAAAAUGAGGGAAAAAUCAGGAAGGAAAAUCUGACUCUGUUUUGGGACAAUAAAGACAGUUUAAAUUUUUCUUGUUCUGCUCUUUUGUCUUUAAAUAAGUCUUUUUGUUGUCUGUCCUUUCUUUUAUCUUCUUUUUUUAUUUUACCCUGACCCUCACCUAUCUGCAGGUUACCCCUUUCAUCUAUUAGUUCUGCCUCGCUCUGAUCUUCUCUAGCUUCUCUCAUCUUCAAAUCAUCCCUCCUCUUUCUUCUCUCCCGCUCUCCCUCCAUCUCUCCGGGACUCGGCCUGCCUGGCAUGUUGUAUUUGCUCAGCCCGUCACUAGCUGCCUCUGUUUAUUACAUAUUCAGUGCUUAGACAGAGGAGACAGAGAGGGCCUGCCCUUUGGAGGAUUUUCCUCCCAACUCUCCUGCUGCUGUCUGUCGCUGAAUGUUAAGCCGCCACCUCACUGGAAAAUUGAUUGUUUUGGGUUGUUUUUGUCCUUUCAUUUAUUUCAAUUUAUUCAGUAUCGAGCGUAUACACCUGCCAGUUGUGUCAAACAAAGUUCACAUGACCUGUAAUUACAUUAGGCAGAGGGGGAUCAUGGAAAUGGAUAACCUCAGACUCAGAACCGAGGAUAUUUCUACGACUUCUUAUCUGAAUUAAAUCCCUCAUUAAGCUGCAAUGGAUUAUGUUAAUUAAUAAACGAUCAGUUCAGGGAACAUGGGAAAUAAACAAUAAACAUUAUCCUUGAGCUGCUAAUAAAGUUCUUGUGUAUCAAGUGACAUCCAUCACUGUUGACUCAGACCUAAUUAGAUAACAGAUUUGCUGAUUCCAACCGCUGCAGCACAGAUAAGAAGCUAACCAGCAUGCUUAGCAUAUUCAGUUUAAUCGAAAUUGUGUUGUAUUUAAACAGCUAUGUUGGACUCUCCAAACUGUCCACCCUGAAAGUCUUAAAUCUUUGGUUCAUCCUCUCUUCAGGAUUUGUUUCCUCUAACUGCAGGCUGCCUUCCCCUUUACAAUGAGAAACCGCAUCCUGAAGUGUGCUCUGCCUGCUCCUCAAAGCUAUCACAGGCUUUCACAAUAGCCCGCGGCGCUCUUUUCAUCAACCCACAAGCCUGAUCUGAACACCUCCGAGGAGCUGCUUAAACCGCAGCAGGGGGAGGAAGAGCGAGGUGAGAGGAGGUGAGGUGCAGCUGUGAGGAGACGAUGGUAGGGACUCACGGAGGAGUCUUGGGACUUGGUUAAACUCAGGAGAAAAAUCUCUACUCGACUGUCACUUCAUUUACUCCACAACGGUGUGAGGAAAUACCAAGAAUUAGCCAUUGCAGGAGAGUAACCAAAAUUAUAAACACUAGAACUAGCGAGUUAAGAAGCCAGUUAAAGUGAUGCAUGCUGCUGGUUUUUGAGCCAGUACUGGUCACUGAUAAAAACCUGCAGCUGAAGGUUGAAAAAGAAAAGAUUAAUUAUACAUUUUUAACAACUUUGUAUCCUCAAAGGUGUAUUUUUUGCAUACCUGAGGGUCAGACGGGUGAGCAAAUAUGUGUUAGUUAGUAUCCUCUAGUUCCAGUUGAAAUGACAAUGGUUAACUCACAAAACCAGUUAAAACCCUUAAAUUGUAUUUACAUAUUUUUUUAAUUGUAUUUUACAUAUAUUUUUUCUUUGACUGUGAAUGGGAGUAUUUUUCAACUUUACAGGUGAUCUGUAAAAACAGUUGUGUUCAAAUUUGAGUUUUUUCUCCUUUGAAAAUGAUUUUGGCACAUGUUUUGGAAAUGACACUCAUGUUCUCUUCCCCUGAAACAGUGAUUUUAAAUACAGCAGUGAUGCCAUUUCUCAUCAGCUUGUUCGUGCUGCGUUUGUUGGAGGCGGCUAUGGCUCGGUGGUCGAGUAAGUCACCUCUCUAUCCAAAGGUCUCACUGUCCACAUGCCAGAGUGCCUUUGGCCAAGACACUCGACC